ACCAGGUGCAAUAGCACAUGCCUAUAGUCCUAGCUACUUGGGAGGCCACGGCAGGAAGAUUGCUUGAGUUCUGGACUAUAGUGUGCUCUGCCUGUUGGGUGUCUGCACUAAGUUUAGCAUCAAUACAGUGACUUCCUGGGAUUAGGGGACCACCAGGUUGCCUAAGAAGGAGUGAAGUGGCCCAUGGUAGAAAUGGAGGAUGUCAAAACUCCCAUGCUGAUCAGUAAUAGGUUUGUACUCCAGCCUAAGCAAUGUAGUGAGAUUCUAUCUCU
rnacentral:SRP_RNA from 1 species